CGUACGGGGGGAAGAAGGAGGGAAUCUUCCGCAAUGGACGAAAGUCUGACGGAGCAAGGCCGCGUGAGCGAAGAAGGUCUUCGGAUCGUAAAGCUCUGUUGUCCACACAAACCAAGUACCGAAGGAAAUGGCGGUACCUUGACGGUACCUGACGAGAAAGCCACGGCUAACUACGUGCCAGCAGCCGCCACAAUACGUAGGUUGCAAGCGUUGUCCGGACUUACUGGGCACAAAGCGCGCGCAGCCGGUUCCUUAAGUCUGAGUGGAAAUCUUGCGGCUCAACCGCAAGCGGUCAUUUUAAGCGUGGGAACUUGGGUGCAGAAGAGGAAAGCGUUAUUCCACGUGUAGCGGUGAAAUGCGUAGAGAUGUGGAGGAACACCAGUGGCGAAGGUUGCUUUCUGGUCUGGUACUGACUCUGAGGCGCGAAAGCGUGGGGAGCAAACAGGAUUAGAUACCCUAGUAGUC
rnacentral:rRNA from 1 species